GCAUACCCUAAGGGAAGAGGAGUGCUAAUUAUCUAAAUUUAAGGCAAUAUAAGAAUGUGCAAAUUAAUUAGACCAUCAACCACCUUGAAAUAUAGAUUUCGUUGAACAAGCAUUUGACAGUUUGCUCUUAAUACAGACACUAAAUUCACAAGGUAACAACAUAAAGCCAUCUAAAUUCCUGAUUAUUCAAAUUCGUGAGAACAAAAGCCCAAAAGUCAAUGUAGGGAAAGCUGAACAAAUAAUACAUCCUCCUCCCCAAUCUUCUUUAUGCCACCUCUGAACAAUUGAACUGGACCUGACCUGCUGAACCAGUAAAAGACAUGGAGAUCUGAAUGCUUCAUCAUUGUCUGGGCAAAGUCUCAGCAAAACAAGGAGACAUCCGAAGCAUGUGCUCUGAGCCAAAUCCCACUUUCUUCCCCAUGCAUUAGUUGUUGGUCAGCAUAUAGAGGAUUCCUCUACCUUGCAG
rnacentral:misc_RNA from 1 species